GAUGAACGCUGGCGGCGUGCCAAAUACAUGCAAGUCGAGCGAACGGACGAGAAGCUUGCUUCUCUGAUGUUAACGGCGGACGGGUGAGUAACACGUGGAUAACCUACCUAUAAGACUGGGAUAACUUCGGGAAACCGGAGCUAAUACCGGAUAAUAUUUUGAACCGCAUGGUUCAAAAGUGAAAGACGGUCUUGCUGUCACUUAUAGAUGGAUCCGCGCUGCAUUAGCUAGUUGGUAAGGUAACGGCUUACCAAGGCAACGAUGCAUAGCCGACCUGAGAGGGUGAUCGGCCACACUGGAACUGAGACACGGUCCAGACUCCUACGGGAGGCAGCAGUAGGGAAUCUUCCGCAAUGGGCGAAAGCCUGACGGAGCAACGCCGCGUGAGUGAUGAAGGUCUUCGGAUCGUAAAACUCUGUUAUUAGGGAAGAACAUAUGUGUAAGUAACUGUGCACAUCUUGACGGUACCUAAUCAGAAAGCCACGGCUAACUACGUG
rnacentral:rRNA from 1 species